rnacentral:rRNA from 1 species
UCCUACGGGAGGCAGCAGUAGGGAAUAUUGGUCAAUGGGCGGGAGCCUGAACCAGCCAUGCCGCGUGCGGGACGAAGGCCCUAUGGGUCGUAAACCGCUUUUAUACGGGAACAACCGCAGCUACGCGUAGCUGUCUGAGUGUACCGUAGGAAUAAGGAUCGGCUAACUCCGUGCCAGCAGCCGCGGUAAUACGGAGGAUCCGAGCGUUAUCCGGAAUUAUUGGGUUUAAAGGGUGCGUAGGCGGCAUUUUAAGUCAGGGGUGAAAUACAGCGGCUCAACCGUUGCAGUGCCCUUGAUACUGAAGUGCUUGAAUGUGGCCGAAGGAGGCGGAACGGGACAAGUAGCGGUGAAAUGCAUAGAUAUGUCCCAGAACCCCGAUUGCGAAGGCAGCUUCCUAGACCAUUAUUGACGCUGAUGCACGAAAGCGUGGGGAUCGAACAGGAUUAGAUACCCUGGUAGUCCACGCCCUAAACGAUGAUGACUCGAUGUUAGCGAUAUAUUGUUAGCGUCCAAGCGAAAGCGUUAAGUCAUCCACCUGGGGAGUACGGCCGCAAGGCUGAAACUCAAAGGAAUUGACGG